rnacentral:SRP_RNA from 1 species
CCGAGUUCUGUAGCUAGAGCUUGUAACCCGAGCGGGGGCAUUAAGGUGGCGCGGAUGCUUUGCGAUGGUUUCUGGGCCUGGGCUCGUUGNGACUCUAGCCGGCUUUGCCCAUCCCAAGUUGGUUGUGUCUGGCGGGGCUCUAGCGAAAGCUUGGGUCUCUGCAGACCUGGAGUGGCAGGAAUGGCGUGAGGCUGGCUUCACAGAGCAGCGAACACUGCCCACUUCCAACAACGGUGGGAGGAUAACAAGCCGCUGCACUUUGAACCCAACACAGGGCCCAGAGCCUCACUAAGCAAACCACCAUCUUU